rnacentral:rRNA from 2 species
UGGGGAAUAUUGCACAAUGGGGGAAACCCUGAUGCAGCGACGCCGCGUGGAGGAAGAAGGUCUUCGGAUUGUAAACUCCUGUUGUUGGGGAAGAUAAUGACGGUACCCAACAAGGAAGUGACGGCUAACUACGUGCCAGCAGCCGCGGUAAAACGUAGGUCACAAGCGUUGUCCGGAAUUACUGGGUGUAAAGGGAGCGCAGGCGGGAAGACAAGUUGGAAGUGAAAUCUAUGGGCUCAACCCAUAAACUGCUUUCAAAACUGUUUUUCUUGAGUAGUGCAGAGGUAGGCGGAAUUCCCGGUGUAGCGGUGGAAUGCGUAGAUAUCGGGAGGAACACCAGUGGCGAAGGCGGCCUACUGGGCACCAACUGACGCUGAGGCUCGAAAGUGUGGGUAGCAAACAGGAUUAGAUACCCUGGUAGUCCACACCGUAAACGAUGAUUACUAGGUGUUGGAGGAUUGACCCCUUCAGUGCCGCAGUUAACACAAUAAGUAAUCCACCUGGGGAGUACGACCGCAAGGUUGAAACUCAAAGGAAUUGACGGGGGCCCGCACAAGCAGUGGAGUAUGUGGUUUAAUUCGACGCAACGCGAAGAACCUUACCAAGUCUUGACAUCCCUUGACAGGCAUAGAAAUAUGUUUUCUCUUCGGAGCAAGGAGACAGGUGGUGCAUGGUUGUCGUCAGCUCGUGUCGUGAGAUGUUGGGUUAAGUCCCGCAACGAGCGCAACCCUUAUGGUCAGUUACUACGCAAGAGGACUCUGGCCAGACUGCCGUUGACAAAACGGAGGAAGGUGGGGAUGACGUCAAAUCAUCAUGCCCUUUAUGACUUGGGCUACACACGUACUACAAUGGCGUUAAACAAAGAGAAGCAAGACCGCGAGGUGGAGCAAAACUCAGAAACAACGUCCCAGUUCGGACUGCAGGCUGCAACUCGCCUGCACGAAGUCGGAAUUGCUAGUAAUCGUGGAUCAGCAUGCCACGGUGAAUACGUUCCC